UUAUGGAUCCCCAUUUAGUUCCUGCCAAGGCAGCAGCUACUCUUCCUGGGGUUUAUUAUGGAUCCCCAUUUAGUUCCUGCCAAGGCAGCAGCUACUCUUCCCUGAGGUUUAUUAUGGAUCCCUAUUCGUUCCUGCCAAGGCAGCAGCUACUCUUCCUGGGGUUUAUUAUGGAUCCCUAUUAGUUCCUGCCAAGGCAGCAGCUACUCUUCCCUGAGGUUUAUUAUGGAUCCCUAUUCGUUCCUGCCAAGGCAGCAGCUACUCUUCCUGGGGUUCAAACACAUUAAGACACUUACAUUACAUAUAAAGCAAAAGAUAAAACAGUACAUCAUAUGACAUUAUUACACCACUACAUAUCUACAAUGCACAAUGUUUUUAAUACCACCAUACAACAAUAUUACAAUGUAUGUGUGUGUCUGUACCUUUGUGUGUGUCUCUUCCAUAAGGUGUCUUUUUUUCUGACUUUUAAAUCUAAUUCUACUGCUUGCAUCAGUUACCUGAUGUGGAAUAGAGUUCCAUGUAGUCAUGGCUCUAUGUAGUACUGUGCACCUCCCAUAGUCUGUUCUGGACUUGGGGACUGUGACUAAUCCUCUUGUGGCAUGUCUUUUGGGGUAUGUAUGGGUGUCUGAGCUGUGUGCUCAUUGUUUAGACAGACACCUUGGUACAUUCAACUUGUCAACACUUCUUACAAAAACAAGUAGUGAUGAAGUCAAUCUCUCCUCCACUUUGAGCCAGGGGAGAUUGACAUGCAUAUUAUUAAUGUUAGCUCUCCGUGUACUUUUAAGUGCCAGCCAUGCUGCCCUGUUCUGAGACAGCCAUGCUGCCCUGUUCUGAGACAGCCAUGCUGCCCUGUUCUGAGACAGCCAUGCUGCCCUGUUCUGAGACAGCCAUGCUGCCCUGUUCUGAGCCAACUGCAAUUUCCCUAAGUCCCUCUUUGUGGCACCUGACCACACUGCAAGUGAUUGCUUUGUCACACAAUCGUACACACACUGCCACUCUGUGUUUCUUAUGGACUUUCAUUGACAGUUGAAACCUUCCAACUCACCCUGUUGUUUCUGACAACAACGUUUCUUCAACAUGGAAAACAAAACCUACAAGUGAAUAACUCCAUAUUCCCAUUUCAUGGAAUACAUUGCUACAUACUGUAGUGAAGAACUCUCAUUUUAAGUCAACUCAUAACUAGAAUAAUAACAUUGACUAAAAGCAAAGAUAUUCAAAUAUAAUAAUGGCCUGAAGAUGUUCCACCCCUCCCCUCCGAAAUCCUUUUACAGGGUCCAAUCACACUGCUUCAUCUUAACCUCGCAGUGACACUUGAUGUAAACUUAAUUUUCACUUAAACCUGUUCCAUCUGCCUCGCCUUGGAUUGAGAAUAUCGCCCGUGGACACAGUGUAGUUAGUUAGUUGUUACUUUGCCAGUUCUCCAACCCCUCACACACUGACUCAUACAUAAGAACGUAGUCUAAUAUAAAUGCAUUAUGAUGCUGGAUUCACACCAAGUUCUGCUGUUUAUCUCCCUUCCCUGCUUUUGGAGUUAUAAUGUCAAACCCCUUUCUGACUCAUAAGAAGGUACUGAAAGCAUUCGUAUGCUAAGUACAUGCAGAUUUCUGUUAUUUGGUUUAUUGAGUGCUUUACUUACAUGCCAUUAACUGUUGCAUUGUAUGAUGGUAGUCUAAAAUACAUGCAGUAGGAUGCUAGGUUCUUAUUUCCCUAUUUCCGUGUUACUUUCCUUUCUAAAAGCGUAAGAAGGUCCCUAUUAGUUCUGAAACCGACAACCAUUAGAAUAUCAAUCUCAAUGACAACCAUUAGAAUGUCCAUUUCUGGUCUGCCUGUUCUUUUUACUGCAUUUGGUUGAUAAUGGCUCCUACUUCCAUCCCAUUAACUGUUGCAUUAACAUCAUGGAUCAAACGGAUGCUGCAGGGCCUGUAAUUAAUGUCGGAGGCGUCUCUUGGGGCUACCUUGUAAUGGUGGUUGUGUUGGGUCACUACCAGUUAGUAUAAUGCCGUUAAUUGCUCCCAGAAUAAGAUCCUUUAGCAUUUUAAAAACAUAAUGGCUGCAUUUUCACAGGCAAGCCUGGUCAAUAGACCAAUUAUUUAAAACAUUAUCAGAAUUGGGCUGCCUGUGUAAACGCAGCCAUAGUGACUUCAGUGAACUCCUAAGGCUGGCCAUGUUGUGCUGUUGAAACAUAUAAAUAUACAUAUAAAUAUAUGCUUGUUUUUGUGUCAUUUAAUAUACAUUUGCCAUUCCAAACACACAACACUUGAAGUCUAAACUAAGUUUAGAGAACUAAGAUUAUCUCCUGAUGUCAAACUAAUGCAGUGUUAGCAAAGACUCAAUUAUGUUCUUUCAAUUUUUUUGUUUCUCACUUUUUCAGACGAAUGCACAGUGACGAGGUCGUACCUUUUCCUCCACAAGUUCUGGUUCUUCAGUACCAUCUACUACUUUGGUAACUGGGUGUUUAUCGGGGUUUUCCUCAUCGGCCUGUUGGUGUCAUGUUGUAAGGGAAGGAAAUCAGUGAUCGAAGGAGAGGUGGAGGCAGAUGACUCUGACAUGAGUGAAGACGAAUACAUUCACUGACAAGACCACAGCCUGCCAGACCUGGGUUCAAAUACUAUUUGAAAUGUUUUAAAUACUUUUGAGCAUUUGCUUUAGCCUGCCUGGGAGUGCCGGGUGGGCGGGGUUUGCAUGUUCUGGACUUUUCUAUGGGUUCACCUGCAAAAGGCAAGCUUAAUCAAAUACAAUUGAAAUAUUUUAAAACAUUUUAAACAGUGUGCCCUAAUGAAUAUGACCCAGGUCUGCUACCUGCAUAGACCAGGAGACAUUUAAACCGGAUUGGUUUCUGUUACAGCUGGUUUGCUAUAACAUAAGAAUAUGACAUUUGGAUUGUUCAUACAAGGCAGUAAAACUUUAAUUUGAACUAUUGCUUUCUGGUUUCUGCCUGAGAUUGGUUAAUAUUCCACAACAUUGUGUUGAUACUGAUGUAUUAUAAUGGGAGAGGGUGUUGGGAGGUAGCUUUUUUCUAUUAGGGCAACUUUUUGUUUUUUGUUCAGUCAAGUGUCUUUGUUCAAAGCAGUAUGUAAACCCUGAAUGUAUCCCAAAUGGCACUCCAUUUCAAAUAUAGUGCACUUCUUUUGACCAAAGCCCUAUUGGACCCUGGUCAAAAGUAGUGCACUAAAUAGGGAAUAGUGUUCCAUUUGAGAUGCAACCCUGUUUGUGUUACUAUGGGUAUGUGCCUGUUGUUUCAAAUGUCAUCUCCACCAAUUCCAUAUCUUUAUGUUUUUCCAAAAAGAAAGAUUUAGUGUUGCAAAAUUCUGGUAUAUUUUCCAAAAUGAAAUGAUUCUGAAUUUCCUGCUUAUUUCCCUCACUAUUCUGGGAAUCUUCAAAUGGGGAUGAAAAAGACAGAAAAACCAUGUGAUUUGUGGAAAGAUCCCAACAUUUUCCAACCCUAAGAAAGAUCCCUGGUUGAGAACCAAACGGUGAGUUAUUCAACAAGCCUGUGGUACUGGAUGUUUUGGAUCCUGAAAAGACAAGAUGUUGUUGGGGAAACAUAGUCCAGGAUUACUUUGUUUCUUAUUUAUUUGAACUCAGCACAUUUUUGUUGACAUGUACAUUUCUGUAAUAUAUGGCUGGAUAAAUGUUUAUUUUAGCCUUUAACAGAUUUAUUAUUUUUAAGAUUACUAACUUAGCACAUUCAGCAUGUUAACUUACAGCAACAAAUAUGGACAUGUAUUUGAUACCAUAUUGAUAAUGCACAUUGCUGAGUUAAAAUAUAUAUUCUCUUAUCCCUGAUUUUGGUGGUGUUUGUUUGGGCUUAACUUGACUAACUGUUGUUGCGUUGAUGUAUUGAUUUUCUGUAAAGUUAUCUUAACAUGAACUGAGCAUAAUAUCACUUGACUACUGAUCACGAUGUCAAUUUACUUUAUGAAUUUGGAAUAAAUUAUGAAUUCUGAAUUGA